UACGGAGGGUGCAAACGUUGCUCGGAAUUAUUGGGCGUAAAGCGCACGUAGGCGGCCGAUUAAGUCGGGUGUGAAAGCCCAGGGCUCAACCCUGGAAGUGCACUCGAAACUGGACGGCUUGAAUAUGGAAGAGGGUUGCGGAAUUCCCGGUGUAGAGGUGAAAUUCGUAGAUAUCGGGAGGAACACCAGUGGCGAAGGCGGCAACCUGGGCCAAUAUUGACGCUGAGGUGCGAAAGCGUGGGGAGCAAACCGG
rnacentral:rRNA from 1 species